UCUAACCCUCUGAGCUAAGUGGGC
rnacentral:tRNA from 2 species